rnacentral:rRNA from 1 species
AUCUGCCCUUCACUCUGGGACAAGCCCUGGAAACGGGGUCUAAUACCGGAUACUGACCCUCGCAGGCAUCUGCGAGGUUCGAAAGCUCCGGCGGUGAAGGAUGAGCCCGCGGCCUAUCAGCUUGUUGGUGAGGUAAUGGCUCACCAAGGCGACGACGGGUAGCCGGCCUGAGAGGGCGACCGGCCACACUGGGACUGAGACACGGCCCAGACUCCUACGGGAGGCAGCAGUGGGGAAUAUUGCACAAUGGGCGAAAGCCUGAUGCAGCGACGCCGCGUGAGGGAUGACGGCCUUCGGGUUGUAAACCUCUUUCAGCAGGGAAGAAGCGAAAGUGACGGUACCUGCAGAAGAAGCGCCGGCUAACUACGUGCCAGCAGCCGCGGUAAUACGUAGGGCGCAAGCGUUGUCCGGAAUUAUUGGGCGUAAAGAGCUCGUAGGCGGCUUGUCACGUCGGUUGUGAAAGCCCGGGGCUUAACCCCGGGUCUGCAGUCGAUACGGGCA